rnacentral:lncRNA from 1 species
UUCAGUGUCUUUCCCAGAAUAGACCCUUGAGGCUAAGAACAACAACAAAAAAUCCAGUAGAGCCCCAGGAGGAAAGGAAUUUGGCUUUUUAGCUGAGUAGUGAAAAGGCAAGCUGGCAAUUGCCCUUUGGCUCUGCCAGGGAAGGUCAGAGAAAGGCCUCCCCAGUGAUGGAGAGGGGAAGGAAGUGAGGGGGAGAAAAAACAGUGGAGAGAUAAACAAGCCUUGGCUGGAAGGAGGAGAGAGAAGCCCCCUCUGAAGGUACCUAGGGGUAUUAAAAGGGGGAAGUUAACAGUGAGAACAAAUAAUAAAGAUUCUUAUAUGUAGCCAAGGUUUGCUCUUUGUGUACUCUGAGACUACCAUACGUAAAGGCUGGUGUUUGAACUUGGCUCCUAGCAGUGGCAGCUUGUUAGGGAAGAGUUCUGGCUCGGGAGGCAGGAGAUCAGGCUUCUGGUCUAGCUCUGCCAUUAACCGGCUCUGGAGCCUGGGCCGCAGUGUCCCAUAUUUCAGUUGGGCUGGAGACGGAGUUUCACCAUGUUGGCCAGGAUGGUCUCUGUCUCUUGACCUCGUGAUCCGCCCGCCUUGGACUUCCAGAGUGCUGGGAUUACAGGCAUGAGCCACCACGCCCAGCCUUGUUUUUGUAUAUUUUGUAGAGACAGGUCUUACUAUGUUGCCCAGGUUUGUCUUGGAGCUCCACUCCAAGGUGGAGCUCAAGCGAUCCACCUGCCUCAGCCUCCCAAAGUGCUGGGAUUACAGAUGUGAGCCACCAUGCCCAGCCUUCAUGGGUUUCCCUAGGAUCACCAGCUGUCAUGGACUGAUUUGUGUCUCUCCAAAUUCAUAUGUUGAAUACUUAACCUGCCAUGCGAUUGUGAUUGGAGAUAAUUCCUUUAGGGAAGCAAUGAAGGUUAAAUGAGGUCAUAGGUGGGAGCUUAAUCCAAUGGGACUGGGGUCCCUACAAGAAGAGGAAGACACCAGAGCUCUCUGUCUCCACACACAGAGAAAAGAGGCUGUAUGAGGACACAAGAGAAGGUAAUAGCUGUCUACAAACCAAGAAGAGAAGCCUCUCCAGAAAAUGAACCCUGCUGGAACUUGGUCUUGGACUUUCCAGCCUCCAGAACUGGGAGAAAAUAAAGUUCAAAAUAAAGUUCUGUUGUGUA